rnacentral:lncRNA from 1 species
AUGUGCUGCACAGUCUGGGAGGAAAGAAAAAUUCCUCCUGUCUCAGACCAGUUGCAAUUCCCAGCCCCAUGGGAACUCCCUGGAAGAGGCUGGAAGAAGACCAAUGUUUGUGUCCAGAAAAAAAGCCUUGAGGAGCAGAGAAAACCAAGUAAGGCAGUACUUUGGGCUCCCACGUUUGGCACCCACACGCAGAGGAUGAAGCAGGCUGCCUUCCUAAACAAUGGUUUCUCCAGGACCUGGUUGCCUAAACACCAAGACUGGUGGUUUUGAUGACAAAUAUUCCCAGCUGCAUAGUUAAACUUGGAGAAUUGAUUGAGGUAUCCAGAACACACAUGCUGAAGUGUUUGGAAGGAACAGGGACCUUUGCACUUCCAGAUUGAAUUCACAGGUUUUCUCACAGCAAGGGUUGGGAGAAUGUCAUGGUAAGUUUUCCCAUUUCCACAAAUCCUCUGUUGCUGGUAAAUGUCAGGAACAGGAUUUUGUGCUGGAGGAACUGGCCAUAGGAGCCUUUGGAGGAUGGCUGGGUGUAAUUUGGGUAUCCUCUUGCCUCAGCCA